rnacentral:lncRNA from 1 species
CACAUGAUGGUGGCAACUAAGACGGAUGGACUUGUAGGAUAGGCAGGCUACUCACAAUGUAGGCGGGAUCAACUCUAUGGUCGCGCCCACAUCAUACACGACGUUCUUCACACACUGUACCCGGCCGGCACAACGAAGCUGAAUCCACCUACAUCAUGAGAGUGGUCCCUGACGUCGUCCUGCAAGUGGAUCCAUUCUUACGCCCACCCUUGCACUCACAUGACAGCCCCCUUCACAUCGUUUCCCGCAGCUUUAAUGCUGCAGACUGCGCUGGUGCAAGAAACUACGACAACAGGACUGCGACUGCCUACGUAUCCACGCAACUUUUAAUGAAGCGGCUUUGCGUUUCAGCGGUCUUUGCUUGGUGCCAACGGACUUUCUGGGACGACACCACCUACUUCUCUGCUGCAAUAAAAACUGAACCAGCCAGACACAGAGGAGACACCACCUUUGGCAAUCUGUCUGCGGUUUCCCGCCACUAAAGCCUUUCCACAGGUCGCCAGAGGCCGUGUGAGUGAGUGUGACACCAGGCAUCCUGGCCUGUCCUCCCCCCACAGGGGUGCUCCAGCAGGAGGAUCGCCCAGGCCCAAUUACAGUAAUCACCCCCAUCAAAGAGCACAUGUCACUGGAGGGAGCCACUGGCCGGCCACCACACCAUGCCAGCCAGAGGUGAGAGUGUCCCUGUCUGUGUGCGGUGAGUGGAAAUGUGUGUAUUUUGUGUGUGUGUGUUUCAUGAGCCUCUUUACAUCUGUAAAUAUUAUUGAGAGUCUUUCCUUUCCGAAUGUGCUAAAUGUUUAAUCGUCUGCAUGUACAAUUUAUUUUGGAAAUCACACGUUCUGUGGCAGGAGAAGCAUGGUAAGAAAAUACUGCAGAAACUGCCAUGAGCUCAAAGUGCCAGGAGCAGCAAACUCACAGAGCCACUCUCUUUGUCCUAGCAGGCACACGCACUGCUUUAUGCCUACGGUCUACCUGCAAGCCCUCACUGCAAAUUACCACAGCAGUCCUGUCCUUCCACAAGGAUUUACAGUUGCUGUGUCAGGACUUGUUACCCGCCCGGCAGUCUGAUGCUUACGGUUUGUUUUUAUAAGGGCUUUGCAUGUCCUGAGGUGUUAGUCAUGUCACCUGCCAUACAUGGUUUGUGUGACCUCGAGACCAUCUAUUAGACAAGAAGGCUAGACAUGUAAUCAGAUGAAAUGUUUGUAUAAUGUUGAGAUUUUGCAAUUUGCCCUUGUACAUCUGCAGGUUCAUUCAUUUAUACUGUAUUUAAGCAUUGAAGCAUUUUUAUGAAACUGAUGUCAAAUGCUUCACUAAGACCCAUAGGAUGCAGUGCAUUGCAAUGUUUCAUAAGUGAUGUAAAAACAAUUAUGGGGGGCUGGUAGCCACUGUUGGAAACUGUCAAGACAGGGAAAGAGAGGGUGACAGAGAAAUGUAGAGAGAGAGGGAGACAAAGUGAAAGACAAAGACCUUCCAUCAAAAUCAAGCUUCUCCAGGUUUCUGUGUCAC